rnacentral:rRNA from 1 species
CCAACAGGGAUUGCCCCAGUAACGGCGAAGUGAAGCGGCAACAGCUCAAAUUUGAAAUCUGGCUUCGGCCCGAGUUGUAAUUUGUAGAGGAAGCUUUUGGCGAGGCACCGACUGAGUCCCCUGGAACGGGGCGCCAUAGAGGGUGAGAGCCCCGUAUAGUCGGACGCCGAGCCUCUGUAAAGCUCCUUCGACGAGUCGAGUAGUUUGGGAAUGCUGCUCAAAAUGGGAGGUAAAUUUCUUCUAAAGCUAAAUAUUGGCCAGAGACCGAUAGCGCACAAGUAGAGUGAUCGAAAGAUGAAAAGCACUUUGAAAAGAGGGUUAAAUAGCACGUGAAAUUGUUGAAAGGGAAGCGCUUGUGACCAGACUUGCGCCUGGCCGAUCAUCCGGGGUUCUCCCCGGUGCACUCGGCCAGGCUCAGGCCAGCAUCGGUUCUCUUGGGGGGACAAAGGUCCCGGGAAUGUAGCUCCCUUCCGGGGGAGUGUUAUAGCCCGGGGCGUAAUGCCCUCGAGGGGACCGAGGACCGCGCUUCGGCAAGGAUGCUGGCGUUACGGUCAUCAGCGACCCGUCUUGAAACACGGACCAAGGAGUCAAGGUUUUGCGCGAGUGUUUGGGUGUAAAACCCGCACGCGUAAUGAAAGUAAACGUAGGUGAGAGCUUCGGCGCAUCAUCGACCGGCCCAGAUGUUCUCGGAAGGGCCUGAGUAGGAGCGUUAAGCCUUGGACCCGAAAGAUGGUGAACUAUGCUUGGAUAGGGUGAAGCCAGAGGAAACUCUGGUGGAGGCUCGCAGCGGUUCUGACGUGCAAAUCGAUCGUCAAAUCUGAGCAUGGGGGCGAAAGACUAAUCGA